CCUACGGGAGGCAGCAGUCGAGAAUCAUUCACAAUGGGGGAAACCCUGAUGGUGCGACGCCGCGUGGGGGAAUGAAGGUCUUCGGAUUGUAAACCCCUGUCAUGUGGGAGCAAAUUAAAAAGAUAGUACCACAAGAGGAAGAGACGGCUAAAUCUGUGCCAGCAGCCGCGGUAAUACAGAGGUCUCAAGCGUUGUUCGGAAUCACUGGGCGUAAAGCGUGCGUAGGCUGUUUCGUAAGUCGUGUGUGAAAGGCGCGGGCUCAACCCGCGGACGGCACAUGAUACUGCGAGACUAGAGUAAGGGAGGGGGAACCGGAAUUCGCGGUGUAGCAGUGAAAUGCGUAGAUAUCGAGAGGAACACUCGUGGCGAAGGCGGGUUCCUGGACAUUAACUGACGCUGAGGCACGAAGGCCAGGGGAGCGAAAGGGAUUAGAUACCCCAGUAGUC
rnacentral:rRNA from 1 species